rnacentral:rRNA from 1 species
UACAGAGGGUGCGAGCGUUAAUCGGAAUUACUGGGCGUAAAGGGCGCGUAGGUGGUUACGUAAGUGAGAUGUGAAAUCCCUGGGCUUAACCUAGGAACUGCAUCUUAUACUGUGUGACUAGAGUACUGUAGAGGGUAGUGGUAUUUCCGGUGUAGCGGUGAAAUGCGUAGAGAUCGGAAGGAACACCAGUGGCGAAGGCGGCUACCUGGACAGAUACUGACACUGAGGCGCGAGAGCGUGGGGAGCAAACAGG